UCUSGAUGGUAGUGUAUUGGACUACCAUGGCUUUCACGGGUAACGGAGGAUUAGGGUUCGAUUCCGGAGAGGGAGCCUGAGAAACGGCUACCACAUCUACGGAAGGCAGCAGGCGCGUAAAUUACCCAAUCCUGAYUCAGGGAGGUAGUGACAAGAAAUAACGGACCGAAGCUUCAUGUUUCGGGAUUGCAAUGGGUACAAUUUAAACCCCUUAACGAGGAUCAAUUGGAGGGCAAGUCUGGUGCCAGCAGCCGCGGUAAUUCCAGCUCCAAUAGCGUAUAUUAAAGUUGUUGCAGUUAAAAAGCUCGUAGUUGGACUUCUGGGAGGGUGCCAAUGUCCGCUGUUGCGAGUGCAGCGGCGCCCUUCCAUCCUUCUGUUAACGUUUCUUGGUAUUCAGUUACUGGUUUCGGGCUCAGAUAUUUUACCUUGAGAAAAUUAGAGUGUUUCAGGCAGGCUUGCGCCGGAAUACAUUAGCAUGGAAUAAUAGAAUAGGACUUUAGUCUCUCUUGUUGGUUUAGGGACUGAAGUAAUGAUUAAUAGGGAUAGUUGGGGGCAUUAGUAUUUAAUUGUCAGAGGUAAAAUUCUCGGAUUUGUUAAAGACUAACUUAUGCGAAAGCAUUUGCCAAGGAUGUUUUCAUUAAUCAAGAACGAAAGUUAGGGGAUCAAAGACGAUCAGAUACCGUC
rnacentral:rRNA from 1 species